rnacentral:rRNA from 1 species
UUGUGGUUAAAAAGCUCGUAGUUGGAUCUCGGCGGACUGAGGGCGGUUUGCUUGCUAGUAUUACUGCCCUAUAGUCCGUAGUUUUGCCAGAGGUUUCGGGGUGCUCUUAAUCGAGUGUCCCGGGAUGCUGGCAGGUUUACUUUGAAAAAAUUAGAGUGCUCAAAGCAGGCUAUUACGCCUGAAUAUUCGUGCAUGGAAUAAUAGAAUAGGAAGUCGUUUCUAUUUUGUUGGUUUUCGGAAAUCGACUUAAUGAUUAAUAGGGACAGUCGGGGGCAUUUGUAUUCAAACGACAGAGGUGAAAUUCUUGGACCGUUUGGAGACAAACUACUGCGAAAGCAUUUGCCAAGAAUGUUUUCAUUAAUCAAGAACGAAAGUUAAAGGUUCGAAGGCGAUUAGAUACCGCCCUAGUUUUAACCAUAAACGAUGCCAGCUAGCGAUCUGCGGACGUUUUUUUUGUAGACUCCGCAGGAAGCUUCCGGGAAACCAAAGCAUUUGGGUUCCAGGGGGAAGUAUGGUUGCAAAGCUGAAACUUAAAGGAAUUGACGGAAGGGCCCCACCAAGGAGUGGAGCCUGUGGC